UAUUGGGUAGGGGAGCGUUGUGUAAGCUGUUGAAGGUGUGCUGAGAGGCAUGCUGGAGGUAUCACAAGUGCGAAUGCUGACAUGAGUAACGAUAAAGGGGGUGAAAAACCUCCUCGCCGGAAGACCAAGGGUUCCUGUCCAACGUUAAUCGGGGCAGGGUAAGUCGGCCCCUAAGGCGAGGCCGAAAGGCGUAGUCGAUGGGAAACGGGUUAAUAUUCCCGUACUGCUGCUUACUGCGAUGGGGGGACGGAGAAGGCUAGGUGGGCCUGGCGAUGGUUGUCCAGGUUCAAGUGCGUAGGCUGAUUUCUUAGGCAAAUCCGGGAAAUCAAGGCCGAGACACGAUGUCGAGCCACCAAGGUGGUGAAGUCAUUGAUGCCAUGCUUCCGGGAAAAGCCUCUAAGCUUCAGGUAAGUAGCAACCGUACUCCAAACCGACACAGGUGGUCGGGUAGAGAAUACCAAGGCGCUUGAGAGAACUCGGGUGAAGGAACUAGGCAAAAUGGUACCGUAACUUCGGGAGAAGGUACGCUGCCCGCGGUGAAGUCCCUUGCGGAUGGAGCUAUGGGCAGUCGCAGAUACCAGGUGGCUGCAACUGUUUAUUAAAAACACAGCACUGUGCAAAAUCGAAAGAUGACGUAUACGGUGUGACGCCUGCCCGGUGCCGGAAGGUUAAUUGAUGUGGUUAUCGCAAGAGAAGCCAUUGAUUGAAGCCCCGGUAAACGGCGGCCGUAACUAUAACGGUCCUAAGGUAGCGAAAUUCCUUGUCGGGUAAGUUCCGACCUGCACGAAUGGCGUAAUGAUGGCCACGCUGUCUCCACCCGAGACUCAGUGAAAUUGAAAUCGCAGUGAAGAUGCUGUGUACCCGCGGCUAGACGGAAAGACCCCGUGAACCUUUACUACAGCUUGGCACUGAACAUUGAGCCUACAUGUGUAGGAUAGGUGGGAGGCUUUGAAGCGGCGACGCCAGUUGCUGUGGAGCCAUCCUUGAAAUACCACCCUUGUAUGUUUGAUGUUCUAACUUAGCCCC
rnacentral:rRNA from 1 species